UUUCUCCAUGAAUUUUUCUCUAGUAUGAGCUAUAUGUCUUGUUUCAUAACAUGAUAAACAGGAAAUAUGUAUUCUUUGAUAAUAUAUGUACAAUUUCUAUCAUAUUGCCUGCCUUCUUGGGGAGGAAGAAGGGAUGGGAGAGAAGAAAAAAAAAAUGAGACAUAGCUUUUUGGACAUAGCUAAUAAUCAAUGAUGAGCUAAAGAAUUUCAAGAAGAGGGCAAUCAGGAUGGCCAAAGGUUUCAAGAUCAAGACAAGUGAGAUGUGUCCCGGGUCUCAGGGGGUCCAUGGCAACCCUCUUCAAGUACUUGAAAGACUAUUAUGUGGAAACAUGAAUAGAUUUGAUUGAUUGGCUCCAAGAAGAAAAUCAGCACAACAAUCAUCAACAUCAUACACAUAAUUUUCUCAGCCAUUCCCUAGCUGAUGGACAUCCCGUCAUUUUCCGAUUCUUUUCCACUACAAAAGGAGCUUCUAAAAAUAUGUUCAUACAAAUACAUGAACAGAACAAUGAGCUGCUCUUAUCAUUUCUUGGUGAGACAUUCUGAGAAGAGUCUAAAAAUGAACAUUGAUAACGGGGAAGGCAUUCGAAGGAGGACAACUACAGUGGGAAGGAACUCCUAAUCCCCUGCUAAAUACAAAUGGGUUGUGGGCAUCAGGAAUGUGUAUCACAGAGAAGACCAGACUUGAGGGAAGAGAAGAAGAUGUCAUCGUUGUGUUCAAGUAUUUGGAAAACUGUCUUUUGGAACAAGGACUAGCUUAAUUCUAUUGGGCAGAAACAGGAAAAAUGGGUGAAUGCUACAAGGAGAGGGGGAAAGAGUAUUUUUAAUAAAUCAUUAACAAUUAGAACUGUCCAAAAGUGGAACAGGUUGCCUCUGGAAAUGGUGGGUUUCACUUAUCACAGUACCUGGUAUAUACUAAAUAGGUGCUCAGUAAUAAAUGCUUAUUCCUCUUCCCCCUCAUGUGAGAUCUUCAAACAAAAGAUGGAUAGUAACUCUUUCAAUAUGCUGUAGAAGGAAUGUCUCCUUGGGCUCACCUUAAGGGUCUCUGAAGCACCUUCCCACUUUGAUUCAUAUGAAACUUGAGGGAGACACAAAGCUGGGAAGGAUCACUAUUAAACAGGGUUAUAUAGUCAGAAUCCCAAAAGAUUUUGAGAUACUAGUACAUUGGGAUAAAUCUAAUAAGAAACUCUAGAGGAUAGUGAUAAUACCAAGGCUGUCAAUGGCGUAAGGUA